rnacentral:misc_RNA from 1 species
AGGCAAAUCUUAAAUUAAACAAAGAUGUGCUCAUAAAUUCACUAUGCGCGACACUGUAGACAACACGAUAUAGCACUUAGAACGCAAAAAAGCUAAAUAGCCAACUGAUCCUAUGAUAAUUGUCCACUAUCUAUUAAUUAUCCAUACAGUAGAUUAGCUGCAGUAGGAAGUGGAGGAGGCCCAGGGCACCAAUAUUUAUUGCUGUAGGGCCAAAAAGGCUAAACAAACCACGGCCAUUUUGGCUGUUUUUAUCAAUCAAUCACAGUUGCUUUGAUCGAUUAUUCGAUGAUUAUUUGGAGGGGUGUGCAAUAUGUUGGUUCGUUCAUCAAUUUUCUUCUCAUUGCAACCAUCAAACAGGAACAAAUUUCCAGACUCCAAAUCUAUGAGCAAUCUCAGGUAAACAACAGCAACCCAUCAUCAACACAACAAAUAUGAACAAAAAAAAAAAAAUAGUAAGACAUUUAGACAACAAAUCUGAGCAACAGCAAUCUUUGGCCCCAACUCUAAGGCAGUAAUCUCGAUAGAGAAUAGGUAAAUCACAAACCCAAACAGAAACAAGAAUAUGUGAGUUGAUAGGGGAGAAGAAGCCGACUAUGGCCUGGUCACAGAUGCUGCGUCGACGUCUAGUGGGGUGAGUAGCUCGGUCCACGUCGUGUCUUGGCGUGAGGAUGAGGGAGAUGGAGAACAUGGUCGAAGGCACAUGACAUCGCAUUCGCAUCGGCAAAACAGAAAAUGGAGAAACAGAGAAGAUUUAUCGGCACAUCUCAGAUGAAAGGCGAGAACGAUAUCACAACCCAACUGUGCUACGAUUCGACACACCGAUGUCUGCCUCCAUUAAUUACAACCCAACAGAAGAAUGAAUUCGAGAGUGGCUCAGAGGCAAACGACUCCAAUAAUAGAAGAUACGCUGGGCCUGGUAGUGCUAUGGCAGUGGGACUAGUGGGCUUGGCUUCAAUCAGAAGACCUUAAAAUAUUGAUGAUUCGGUUUUUUUCCUGUAGUAAUGGAACUUAUAAUACAAUUGAAAACAAGCUUAACUCUGUAUUAUACAUGGCAGCUGCUACUUUCCUCACCUUACAAUAAAAACAAAAUAAAAACAACAACUAUCGUUUGUUGAAGCAACCUAACCAAAAUUGAAUCUUUCAGAACUGCACCAGAGGAUUUAUUAACUCUGUUUGCCAAUGGCAUACUCCUAUCAGUGCUAGAGAGAUGCUGCACUGUCCUUGCUGAAACGGGUCUGCCCAUAUCGCAGCGACCGAUGCCUGAAUCAAAUGAUGAAUCCAACCCAUCUUCAAAAACACUAUUAUAAUCAUAACAUAGUCCUGUGUUAUUCUGAAGCCUCAGCUUUCUCCUCAUCCUCCAUACCAUUUCUCUUCCGAAUGGAACUGGCCCGGACAAUUGAUUGUCGUUUAGCUUUAGUUCACUCAGAUUUUUCAGGUUCUUGAAGUUUGUAGGAAUUGAACCAUUGAAGCAAUUCCGAUCGAGAUGAAUGACCCUUAAGUUUGUUAAUCUGCCUAAUGAAUCCGGGAUUGGACCAUGCAGAUUUGUAUUUGAGAGGAUUAAGAUAAUUAAACCUUUCAUACCAUCAAAUUCAUCACCAGCAAGUGUAGUUGACAUUGGAUUUCCUUCCAGAAUUAACGCUUGGAGAGAGCUUAAGCUUCUGAUUGAAAUCGGAGGUGGCUUUGAUAGGCGAUUUUGGCUUAAAUCCAUAAGGAUUAGCUCUUUUAAGCCACUGAAAGAAUCAGGAAUCGAACCGCUCAGACGAUUAUGGCCGAAAUCCAUUUUGAUUAGAGAACGACAAUAACCCAGGCUAGAUGGGAUUGAACCGGUCAAAAGAUUUCGGUUCAAGUCCAAAACAUUCAAAACCGGAAAACUUAAACUGGGUAUUGAACCGGUUAAUCUGUUCCCGCUCAAAUCUAACGACCUUAGGCUGGUCAACAGGCCCAAGGAAACUGGGAUUGAACCGUUGAUGUUAUUUUUGUGAAGAUCAAGAACCCUCAAACGGGUAAGAUUGCCCAAUUCACUAGGGAUUGGACCCACAUGUCCAUUUUCUCUAAGCACCAACGUUUGCAAAGUUGGGCCUAACUGCCCUAAAAAUGAAGGGAUGGGUUGUGGGUUAUGACUAAGGCAACGGUAUAAAAACAAGGUCCUAAGGUGAGGAAGCCUAGUAAUGGAUUGUGAAAUAUAAGAACUUGUUGGGUCACAGGUAGGAAAGGCAGUGUCAUCAGACAAUGCACCAAAAGAUAAUGAAACAACAUGAUACACAUCGUCUUUAUCCAGCAUACACUCUAUGCCAUGCCACCGGCCGCGGCAAACGUCGGGAAUGUCAGUCGCCCAAUUGUUGCCGGUAGCCUUCAUAAUGUCAUAGACAGCUUCUUGCUCGUGGGCCUCCGUUCGGGCUCCGCUAAUGUUCAUAGAAAACCCAUUUCGAAGCCCAUCUAUUAAGGCGGAUUGGUUGCCAGGAUCGGAAACAAUGACCGUAAAAGGCAUAGAGAGUGGCAGCAAAAGAGACAUAAGAAGAGGUAGAAGUAGUGACGUUUGUGUAGAGAAAAAUGUUGCCAUUUUGGUAGAGAUGUGGAGGAGAGGAGAAGUGUGGGCUUGGGGCUUAAAUGGGGCUGGG